rnacentral:rRNA from 1 species
CCUACGGGGGGCUGCAGUGGGGAAUAUUGCACAAUGGGCGCAAGCCUGAUGCAGCGACGCCGCGUGAGGGAUGGAGGCCUUCGGGUUGUAAACCUCUUUUAUCGGGGAGCAAGCGAGAGUGAGUUUACCCGUUGAAUAAGCACCGGCUAACUACGUGCCAGCAGCCGCGGUAAUACGUAGGGUGCAAGCGUUAUCCGGAAUUAUUGGGCGUAAAGGGCUCGUAGGCGGUUCGUCGCGUCCGGUGUGAAAGUCCAUCGCUUAACGGUGGAUCCGCGCCGGGUACGGGCGGGCUUGAGUGCGGUAGGGGAGACUGGAAUUCCCGGUGUAACGGUGGAAUGUGUAGAUAUCGGGAAGAACACCAAUGGCGAAGGCAGGUCUCUGGGCCGUUACUGACGCUGAGGAGCGAAAGCGUGGGGAGCGAACAGGAUUAGAUACCCCUGUAGUC